rnacentral:misc_RNA from 1 species
UUCAUUGAGUGUGUGUUGUUGUAAUCUUACGCGAAAACUGCAACGAUCCACGCGAUUAUAGCCAAAUGGGAGGUUUUUGCAUCGAGCUAUGAUUAAUGUAGUUACGGCCGGCAACUGGUUUGGGUUUUUGGAACGGACUCGCAAAGUGGAACUCCGUGUGUAGCGACUCGACCGCAGCGGCAGUGGAACGAAGUUGACCUGGCGUUGGGGUUUUCUAUUCUACGAAGAUUUUGCCAUGCACACAUUCUUUUAAGUUAUCUUGCAAUCUACCCGUCUGCACCUAGGAAAACACUUUAUUCGCCAGAUCAGAUCUCGGAUGGUGAUAGUUGUGAAAUUGCACAUCGUCGGACAAGUAUUUCGUUGUUUCCACACACUUCCAAAUCAGCUGACCUAACAAAAAGAUACUGGAUUCAGAGAGCGAGAGAGAGGUGUUUUGAAUUGUGUCUGCGGCGUUUGUGAUUGGAGUUAGCCCCUCUCUCGGGGACUGUGACUUAACUUUGUGGAAUUACUCGCUGAAGACCCAAGGGACAUAAUGCAGAAUCCAACACAGCCUAGGAUGCCAUACGGCCCCACCGAUAAAGAACUCAGCGAUCUUUUAGAUUUUAGCGCGAUGUUUUCACCGCCAACUGGUGUUGUUGGGCCAAAAAACGGUGUACACGCCGUCACCUCACACCCAUCAGUUGAUGGGAGAACGCUCCAGAGGCCUCACUACAAAACAGGAAUGGAAGAGGGUCAGGGUUCAUGGGGUUCUAACAGUCACCCGAGUCCUAGCUAUGACUCGCGGGGAUAUGAAGGUUCAUCUUACAAUGAUCAUAUGCCUGAUAAUCGAAUGCAGCUUAAUAAUAAUAUGUCAUAUUCCCAUGAUAUGAACUCUAAUAAUAGUAGUAUGUCUUCAUUUAUGGGUAAACCCAUAGACAGUAGUAAACCUUACCAGAUGCCUUAUACCAUGCCCAAUAGGGAAAUGCCGCCAAGUCAGGCGGGUAUGUCAUCAAUGGCAAAUGAAAUGCCUCUAUCAAGUCCAAAUUCCCUUUCACCACACAGUAAAAGGGGAUCACCAUUUCCAUUUGGUUACAAUAACAGUGCUCGACGUCCAUUAGUGCCUGAAUCUUCAAGACUAGCAGGAGGCCCUACUGCAAAGAGACCCAGAGGUCUGAGUGCAGCACCGGUUGAUUCGCCAUCAGGGUCCUAUGAUCCGUACAGUCAAGAUUCACCUCGAUACACCUCACCCAAGCCACCUACAAACAUGUAUCCAGAAUUCAUGGAUGGUUCACAUGGCAGUCCCGAUCCAUGGAGUAAUAACGGCAUGCCUCCGUCCACUGGUUUUUCUUCAGCAAUCUUAAAUAAUACUUCAUCUAGUUAUACAAAUGUGCACCAACGGCCUCACGAGCACAUGGGUUAUGGUCACACGAUGUCACCUGGUAGUCAUGAGACUAUUAGUAUGCGCCCGAGUCUUCCACCAAUAUCUUCAUUUCAUGGCAAUCCAACAAGCGGCAGCACACCUUACACGUCGAAUACUUCACCUUUAAAUGGUUCUGAAAGUAUUAUGCCAGGAGGAAGAAGUAGUACUGGACCAGCAUCCAGUGGUGGUGGUGCUGGGGGUGGCUCACAAACAGGAGAUGCACUCGGACAGGCUUUAGCGUCGAUAUAUCAACCAGACCAAACUAACAAUAGCUAUCCUUCGAACACUUCCACUCCUGUUGGUUCUCCAGCACCCAUGUCAGCAGGGCAAUGGACCAGACCAAGCAGUCAGGCGUCACCUGGUCCCUAUGUGGAAAGCCAUCUUCAUUCUCUGCCAACACGCAUGGAAGAAAGACUUGACGAUGCAAUACAUAUACUAAGGGACAGAGCCCAGCAAAGUCGUAUGGAAGAAAGACUUGAUGAUGCAAUCAAUGUAUUACGUAACCACGCUGGCGAAGUCUCGUACGGCAACAUGUCUAUUAUUGGCAGUGGUGGUAUGGGCGGUAGUCAACAUCAUCCAACGCAUCCUAAUGGUGCCAUGGAAUCCCAUAUGACGUACCACAAUCAAUACGACCCUAUGGUUCAAGCACAUAUGCCUGGUCCGCCUUCGCAUGGUCACCAACCACAUCAACCAAUGUCAGAUGAAGUGCCCAGUCCUCACUCACGUUUACGUAACUCAGUGCCUGUUGGUGGCUCAGCCACAACUCCUGAUAUUGCACAACCUCAGCAGCCUUUUAAUGCUGUUCAGAAUGAGAUGCUAGGUCAGAAUGGAUCACCAUCUCAAGGUAUCAAAAUUGAAAAAAUAGAUCAAGACAAAAAUGACAAGUCUAAAGAAAAGAGCAAUAAAGAUGGCAAACAGGAGCAUUCAGAUGGAAGUAUGGUAUCCGGGCAACCAGGGGGAAGAUCGAAAAAGUCGAGAAUGGAUGAUUUUGAUGUUCAUGAAAAGAUGGGUGCUGAGAAAAGAAACCACCAGAAGAUGAACCCCCAGAAGUACGAGCUGUACGGGAAAAGGAGAGACGUCACGCCAAUAAUGCCAGGGAACGAAUUAGAGUUAGGGAUAUUAAUGAGGCCUUCAAGGAGUUAGGCCGCAUGUGUGCACUGCACCUGAAAAGCGAUAAAGCGCAAACAAAACUUGUUAUUUUACAUCAAGCUGUUAGCGUUAUUACGAGUUUAGAGCAACAGGUCCGAGAACGCAAUCUUAACCCUAAAGCUGCUUGUCUCAAGAGACGAGAAGAAGAAAAAGUAGAAGAAUUACCAAAUCGAGCAAUAACAGGGCCUCCUCCACCAGGUGGAGAUCAAGGCGCGUUAGGAGAUGCGCAUUCUCCAAUGUCACCAUACCUCUGUGUUAGUGAUUACUCGUCACCCUGAGUUGUUGGGCACUGAUAGAACUGGUACAAAGAGGACAGCGACUGGAAUUCCCAUAAUGCAUAGCACAACAGAAACGUUUUCCGGAUGUGAUCUAUUCGGGACACCCGCUGAUUCUUUAGGAGUGGGAGAACAAUUUUCUUUUCAAACUGCCAACAUAGGACUGUCUCCUGUAUCGCCG